rnacentral:tRNA from 1 species
GGUGCUGUAGACUAAUUCGUUAGGCCGGUUCCACGGAAUGGAGGAGAUGCGGGUUCGAAUCCCACCGGCGUCC